UGCAACUGCCUCCGCAGGGCGGAGCCACGCGGCUGCCCCCCAUUGGUCAAGAAGAGGCACGUGACGCAAGUGCCUCGGCGCGGCCAAUGUGGGCUCUGCGCCGCCGCGUGACGGGCGCGCGCGGGCGCGGCGGCGGUUGGUUGGAGUGGGUGAGGCCCGCCGGUCCCGAACGCCGGGAGUGGCUCCAGGACCCAUUUGGAUGGAAAGAUCCCGCCGCUCGUUUCUUGAGGAGGCUCCGCGCGGAUUUCGGCGGAUGUCAGUCCUGCUCCGCUGAUGAAGACUCUGCAGAGUGACCGAGGAGUGACUCCUGAAAGUGCCCGUACUUGCAAAAAAAAAUUAAUGUAAGGGGUAUAAAAAUUCAUAAAUAUUCUUGCUUCGACUCUGUGCUUUUGGUUCAUCUUGAAAUGUGAAGGGAUUGAGCUCGGGGGCUCUUACCUGUCCUGAACUGAUCAUUUCCCUCCAUCCCCCCGCAAAAUGCAGCCUGAAAAUGGGAACCCUGAUGGCCAGGAAUACUUGUCUGACCACCUAACCUGUCCGGUGGAAAAACACACCCAGUCGUUCUUCUGAAUUGGACACUGAAACAGCAUGGCUAUGUCUUAGUUAAUAGGAAUCUGAACUUAAUAUCCAAAAUCUGAAGGAAUUCAGUCUGUGCAGAAAUUAUUGUGACAUAUUGCUUCUUGAACAAUGUCCAGCAAGAAUGAAACAUGUAAGAUUGCAGAUUUUAAAAGGAUAAACAUUAUUUGAUACUUUAUUUAUAGGGUACUAAAGGGAAAAGGUAAUGGUUUUGUUAAGAAAAAGACAUUUGUCUGAUCAUUUUCCAUCAAUAAAAUUUUAAUAUCCUCUAAUUCAUUAGAGGGGGAAAAAAAAGGC